AUUAAGUUAACGAGUGCCAAAUAGGACGAAACGCGCGUCCUAAAU
rnacentral:hammerhead_ribozyme from 1 species